rnacentral:rRNA from 1 species
ACCAUGCAGUCGAACGGCAGCACAGGAGAGCUUGCUCUCUGGGUGGCGAGUGGCGGACGGGUGAGGAAUACAUCGGAAUCUACUUUUUCGUGGGGGAUAACGUAGGGAAACUUACGCUAAUACCGCAUACGACCUACGGGUGAAAGCAGGGGAUCUUCGGACCUUGCGCGAUUGAAUGAGCCGAUGUCGGAUUAGCUAGUUGGCGGGGUAAAGGCCCACCAAGGCGACGAUCCGUAGCUGGUCUGAGAGGAUGAUCAGCCACACUGGAACUGAGACACGGUCCAGACUCCUACGGGAGGCAGCAGUGGGGAAUAUUGGACAAUGGGCGCAAGCCUGAUCCAGCCAUACCGCGUGGGUGAAGAAGGCCUUCGGGUUGUAAAGCCCUUUUGUUGGGAAAGAAAUCCAGCUGGUUAAUACCCGGUUGGGAUGACGGUACCCAAAGAAUAAGCACCGGCUAACUUCGUGCCAGCAGCCGCGGUAAUACGAAGGGUGCAAGCGUUACUCGGAAUUACUGGGCGUAAAGCGUGCGUAGGUGGUCGUUUAAGUCCGUUGUGAAAGCCCUGGGCUCAACCUGGGAACUGCAGUGGAUACUGGGCGACUAGAAUGUGGUAGAGGGUAGCGGAAUUCCUGGUGUAGCAGUGAAAUGCGUAGAGAUCAGGAGGAACAUCCAUGGCGAAGGCAGCUACCUGGACCAACAUUGACACUGAGGCACGAAAGCGUG